rfam:Beta vulgaris subsp. vulgaris chromosome 6, whole genome shotgun sequence.
GCGCCUAAUUAAGGCGUUUGCACCAGUGGUGCAGGCGUCUUAAUUAGGCGCCUGACCAGUGGUGCAAGCGCCUAAAUUAGGCGCCUGACCAGUGGUGGGGGCGCCUAAUUAAGGCGCUUGCACCACUA